rnacentral:rRNA from 1 species
GACGAACGCUGGCGGCGUGCUUAACACAUGCAAGUCGAACGGAAAGGCCCCUUUGGGGGUACUCGAGUGGCGAACGGGUGAGUAACACGUGAGUAACCUGCCCUUGACUUCGGGAUAACUUCAGGAAACUGGGGCUAAUACCGGAUAGGAAUCCUUGCUGCAUGGUGGGGGUUGGAAAGCUUCGGCGGCUUUGGAUGGACUCGCGGCUUAUCAGCUUGUUGGUGGGGUAGUGGCGUACCAAGGCUUUGACGGGUAGCCGGCCUGAGAGGGCGACCGGCCACAUUGGGACUGAGAUACGGCCCAGACUCCUACGGGAGGCAGCAGUGGGGAAUAUUGCACAAUGGGCGGAAGCCUGAUGCAGCAACGCCGCGGGCGGGAUGACGGCCUUCGGGUUGUAAACCGCUUUCAGCAGGGGCGAAGCUUGUGGUGACGGUACCUGCAGAAGAAGCACCGGCUAACUACGUG